GAGGCCUCCCCGUUCACCUCCCAGAGGCCGCCACUUUCUUCAGGGCUAUCAGAUGAAGGCAGCAACGAAAACACCACAAGACCAACUUCAGGCUGGAGCUGAUGAUGCCACACAGGUAUAAUAUUAGGCAGAAACCCAAUAUAAAAAGAAAAGCAGAGUUGUUGUAGAUUCAUCGAGGGCUGGCGACCUGGUUCCAAUGAGCCAUCUCCCCGUUCCGACAGGGGCUUCCUGGAGCUCCUGCAACCCCAGGCAUUAGUUCCAGUGCAGUUCUAGGAUCAGAUCAAUUCACUCGACAACAAGAGAAACAAAUGGAGAUUCCUACACAAAGACUUUCAAGCACAAAGAAAUCCUGCUGCCUGUAAAGUGGAGCUGCCUCAGCUCUUGAUGAACGACAGAAAAUACCACCUACUGCCAGACCUCAACGCCUCACAAAACUCUCACCCACCUACUGCUUUUAGCUCACAUUCCAGGAAUUCAGAUGAAGUGAAGUGCUCUCAUGGGGACCAGGCAUGGUUAUUCCAGUCCACUGCCCUGCAAGCCUCAAGGGAAGCCAACUGCCCUUCAGCAAGUCACACCUGCCUUGGUGGAGGCCUUGAUUGGAAGUGCCACACGCUACAUGUCCAGUCCUGAGCGGGAGAAUCGGUGUAGGGACGUUGUGGGGAUGCCGGCUGUGGCCAGAUCAGGUCCAGCUACAGAAGAAUGAAGACUCCACCUGAGGGCUGGAAAAACAAAACCUCAAGUGUGAGGCAGCCAACCUGUUACCUCGAGGGACUGUCCCGCAGCACAGCGGGGCCAUGGGAACAGCAGCAGACACCCCG
rnacentral:lncRNA from 1 species